GACGAACCGUGCGAACGUUGUUCGGAAUCACUGGGCCUAAAGGGCGCGUAGGCGGGUCGAAAAGUCCGUGGUGAAAGCGCCCGGCUCAACCGGGCGAGGCCAUUGGAAACUGGAGAGCUGGAGGGCAGUAGAGGCAGGCGGAAUUCCGGGUGGAGUGGUGAAAUGCGUAGAGAUCCGGAGGAACACCAGAGGCGAAGGCGGCCUGCUGGGCUGCACCUGACGCUGAACCGCGAAAGCCAGGGGAGCGAACAGG
rnacentral:rRNA from 1 species